rnacentral:lncRNA from 1 species
AUUCUAUUCUUCUCCAUAACACUUGUGGCUCCUUCUAAUAUAUAUAAAUACACAUAAAGUCCAUUCCCUCAAAACGCACUUCACUGCACCACCUCCCCACCAACAGAAACCAGAAAAUCUCCUCUCUCUCUAGAUUUUGUUAUUACAACGUUGAUGGCUCGAAGAAAUCUAAUACUACUUUUCGUUGUCUUGAUCAUCUUUACCGCCUUUGUUUCCUCUAUACAUGGCCGGAAGUUCUUGAAAGUACCAUCUCUCGACGACAGGUUGUUUCUAAACGCUCUUCCGAAAGGCACAGUGCCGGGUUCUACCCCUAGCAAGAAGGGCCAUGCCGUGAUCAUCGACGAAAAGCUAAUCGCCCUCCACCUCGCUCGUAUCGACCGGAUUCUCCGAUCAGUUCCUAGUCCCGGUGUUGGAAAUUAACUUUUUGUUAUAUUUCCACUUCUUUUACAAUUUUGUUUAAUUGCUGUUAAUGGUGUAUUGAAGCCAGGAAUAUUUCCGUUAGAACUGUACACUCGAUAUAUAUAAGUGUGUAGAAAGAGAUUUAUGGUCUAUGUUAUGAUUCAACGAAAUUUACCAAUGUUCUGG